rnacentral:rRNA from 1 species
AUUGAACGCUGGCGGCAGGCCUAACACAUGCAAGUCGAACGGUAACAGGAAGAAGCUUGCUUCUUUGCUGACGAGUGGCGGACGGGUGAGUAAUGUCUGGGAAACUGCCUGAUGGAGGGGGAUAACUACUGGAAACGGUAGCUAAUACCGCAUAACGUCGCAAGACCAAAGAGGGGGACCUUCGGGCCUCUUGCCAUCGGAUGUGCCCAGAUGGGAUUAGCUAGUAGGUGGGGUAACGGCUCACCUAGGCGACGAUCCCUAGCUGGUCUGAGAGGAUGACCAGCCACACUGGAACUGAGACACGGUCCAGACUCCUACGGGAGGCAGCAGUGGGGAAUAUUGCACAAUGGGCGCAAGCCUGAUGCAGCCAUGCCGCGAGUAUGAAGAAGGCCUUCGGGUUGUAAAGUACUUUCAGCGGGGAGGAAGGGAGUAAAGUUAAUACCUUUGCUCAUUGACGUUACCCGCAGAAGAAGCACCGGCUAACUCCGUG